rnacentral:rRNA from 1 species
AACCUGUUUUAUAAUCGAUAAUCCACGAUGGACCUUACUUAAAUUUGUAUUCAGCUUAUAUACCGUCGUUAUUAGAAUAUUUUAUUAGAAAGUUAAUUUUCAAGAUUUUUAUAAGAAAGAAUAUCAGAUCAAGGUGUAGUUUAUGUUUAAGUAAAAAUGGGUUACAAUAAAAUUAUUUAGAUGAAUAUAAAUUUGAAAUUUUUAUUGAAGGUGGAUUUGAUAGUAAAAUUAUAAAGAUUAAUAAUUUGAUUUAAGCUCUAAAAUAUGCACACAUCGCCCGUCACUCUUACUAUUAAGGUAAGAUAAGUCGUAAC